rfam:Sulfitobacter sp. H3 contig8, whole genome shotgun sequence.
CAGAUCAGGGAUCGCCCUCCGUCAGCGCGUUGCGCCCACGGGGGCGCUCUUG